rnacentral:rRNA from 1 species
GAUGAACGCUGGCGGCGUGCUUAACACAUGCAAGUCGAACGGAAAGGCCCAAGCUUGCUUGGGUACUCGAGUGGCGAACGGGUGAGUAACACGUGGGUGAUCUGCCCUGCACUUCGGGAUAAGCCUGGGAAACUGGGUCUAAUACCGGAUAGGACCACAUUUUGGAUGGUGUGGUGGAAAGUUUUUCGGUGUGGGAUGAGCUCGCGGCCUAUCAGCUUGUUGGUGGGGUAAUGGCCUACCAAGGCGUCGACGGGUAGCCGGCCUGAGAGGGUGUACGGCCACAUUGGGACUGAGAUACGGCCCAGACUCCUACGGGAGGCAGCAGUGGGGAAUAUUGCACAAUGGGCGCAAGCCUGAUGCAGCGACGCCGCGUGGGGGAUGACGGCCUUCGGGUUGUAAACUCCGUUCGCUAGGGACGAAGCGUUAUGUGACGGUACCUGGAGAAGAAGCACCGGCUAACUACGUG